CUGUACUUCAAUCAACAUAAAUAAAUAAAUUGGAAUCAUAAAGAGAAGAUUAGCCUGGCCCCUGCACAAGGAUGACAUGCAAAUUUGUGAAGCAUUCCAUAUUUUU
ensembl:snRNA U6 U6 spliceosomal RNA